rnacentral:rRNA from 1 species
UGGGCAACCUGCCCAAAAGAGGGGGAUAACACUUGGAAACAGGUGCUAAUACCGCAUAACCAUAGUUACCGCAUGGUAACUAUGUAAAAGGUGGCUAUACUACCGCUUUUGGAUGGGCCCGCGGCGCAUUAGCUAGUUGGUAGGGUAAAGGCUUACCAAGGCAAUGAUGCGUAGCCGAAUUGAGAGGUUGAUCGGCCACAUUGGGACUGAGACACGGCCCAAACUCCUACGGGAGGCAGCAGUAGGGAAUCUUCCACAAUGGGCGAAAGCCUGAUGGAGCAACGCCGCGUGGGUGAAGAAGGUCUUCGGAUCGUAAAACCCUGUUGUUAGAGAAGAAAGUGCGUGAGAGUAACUGUUCACGUUUCGACGGUAUCUAACCAGAAAGCCACGGCUAACUACGUGCCAGCAGCCGCGGUAAUACGUAGGUGGCAAGCGUUAUCCGGAUUUAUUGGGCGUAAAGGGAACGCAGGCGGUCUUUUAAGUCUGAUGUGAAAGCCUUCGGCUUAACCGGAGUAGUGCAUUGGAAACUGGGAGACUUGAGUGCAGAAGAGGAGAGUGGAACUCCAUGUGUAGCGGUGAAAUGCGUAGAUAUAUGGAAGAACACCAGUGGCGAAAGCGGCUCUCUGGUCUGUAACUGACGCUGAGGUUCGAAAGCGUGGGUAGCAAACAGGAUUAGAUACCCUGGUAGUCCACGCCGUAAACGAUGAAUGCUAAGUGUUGGAGGGUUUCCGCCCUUC